rnacentral:rRNA from 1 species
GACGAACGCUGGCGGCGUGCCUAAUACAUGCAAGUGGGACGCAAGGGAACACACUGUGCUUGCACACCGUGUUUUCUUGAGUCGCGAACGGGUGAGUAACGCGUAGGUAACCUGCCUAUUAGCGGGGGAUAACUAUUGGAAACGAUAGCUAAUACCGCAUAAUAUUAAUUAUUGCAUGAUAAUUGAUUGAAAGAUGCAAGCGCAUCACUAGUAGAUGGACCUGCGUUGUAUUAGCUAGUUGGUAAGGUAAGAGCUUACCAAGGCGACGAUACAUAGCCGACCUGAGAGGGUGAUCGGCCACACUGGGACUGAGACACGGCCCAGACUCCUACGGGAGGCAGCAGUAGGGAAUCUUCGGCAAUGGACGAAAGUCUGACCGAGCAACGCCGCGUGAGUGAAGAAGGUUUUCGGAUCGUAAAGCUCUGUUGUAAGUCAAGAACGUGUGUGAGAGUGGAAAGUCACACAGGACGUAGCUACCAGA